rnacentral:rRNA from 1 species
AACGAGCGCUGGCGGCAUGCCUAACACAUGCAAGUCGAACGAAGGCUUCGGCCUUAGUGGCGCACGGGUGCGUAACGCGUGGGAAUCUGCCCUUGGGUUCGGAAUAACUCAGAGAAAUUUGAGCUAAUACCGGAUGAUGACGUAAGUCCAAAGAUUUAUCGCCCAAGGAUGAGCCCGCGUAAGAUUAGCUAGUUGGUGGGGUAAAGGCCUACCAAGGCGACGAUCUUUAGCUGGUCUGAGAGGAUGAUCAGCCACACUGGGACUGAGACACGGCCCAGACUCCUACGGGAGGCAGCAGUGGGA